rnacentral:lncRNA from 1 species
AGUGUCUGCUUCCUUCCAGCAUCCUAAAUGCAAGCUGGUGGCUUACAACAGACAUCCUGAAGGAGCAGGACGCAACAGCUGUGGAGAGGGCGGUGGAGAGAGAGGUCAGUGCCCAGGGACGUCUGAGUUCCCACCAGGUGGACUGGCAGGGUUGCUGUGGUCGGCUGCACAAUUGUGUCCAUCAAGAUUCGCAUCCCAUGUCAUGCCCGUUACUGUGAGGUUGUUGCUUUAUUUAUGACCUUUGCUUGGUGUGUUGCAGUCUAUCAUGGAGAAAAGUCAAAACUUUGUGGGACUACUGUAUUUUUAUUUUGAGAUUGUGGAUUUUUUAAGGUGGGAAAUACAGGACGAUCAGGAAGCAUCAUCACUGUAACCUUUCAGUGCUGAUCAUCUCUGAAGGUGCUAAGUCAGGCUUGCUCAGUCCUGCUCCUGCCCUGACUCAUGUCUGAGGUUGGAAAGGAGGAUUCUACCUGCCUUGCCAGAUUGCUGUUUUUAAUAGAGAACUCAUGUUUUUACCAACAGUUUUAAAAACAUGGCACUUAGGGAUGGUACCUGUCUGUGUCAUUGGGCUUGAGGAAUCCCCACCAAAUGUCUGCUUCCAUUUCUCUCUGAAGCCAGGUUUUGUGCUCAGGACUGAGAAUCCACCUUGAAGAAUGAAUUUGUAAAGUGCAGACGCCCUGGUUCUCAGGGGAUGUGAGAGCAGAUGUUUCUACAGAUCCUGCAAAGUUUGCUGUAUGUGUUCUUCCAACUUAUAGGCUUCUACACAAUCCCUAUUGCAAUUACCACUGUGAUUUUUUUUUUUUUUGAGAUGGAGUCUCACUCUGUUACCCAGGCUGGAUUGCAGUGAUGAAAUCUUGGCUCACUGCAACCUUCACCUCCCAGGUUCAAGCGAUUCUCCUGCCUCAGCCUCCCGAGUAGCUGGGAUUACAGGCACCCGCCACCACACUCAGCUAAUUUUUGUAUUUUUAGUAGAGACAGGGUUUCACUAUGUUGGCUAGGCUGGUCUUGAGCUCUUGACCUCAAGUGAUCUGCCCACCUCAGCCUCCCAAAGUGCUGGGAUUACAGAUGUGAGCCACCACUGUGAUUCUUUAAUUAUGGAGGCUGAUGGCAAAUUGGCCACUGGGCCAAUUAGCCUUACACAUAGUAGGCUGGGGAGAGGUCAGUUGCCCACGUUAGUGUAUUAUUUCUCAGAGAAACGGACAUGGUGUUUCAAAUUUGGAUGCUACUUUCUUGAACAGGGUGAUUUGUCUUCUUGGUACUUUUCUUGUCUUUUUAAAUUUUAUUUUAUUUAAAAAGAGUUUCAGAGUUACCUGCUUCUCCCAGAGAGACGAGGACAGAUUGUCUCCAGCAGGGGCACAGCAGACAAAAGGCACAGACUGACCUGGGCAGCCCUUGCUAGGCAACCAAGCUAUGAAAUCACAGCUCACUGGCACCAGCCCAAGCCUCUCUCUUCCCCUGGGCUCAUGACCAGAGUUGGGUUAUGACCUUGAAGGCAACAGAUGAAGCUUAAGAUACAGGAGUCCCACUUGCACAAUGUCCUUUUGAGGGAUAGGGUAAGCCCUAGCAAUA